UUACCUCUUCAGUUGCUUGCCAAUGCUUGUAAAGUAUUGGUUGGAUUGUGGGUUUCAUGUGUUGCCUACCGAAUUGAUGGUAUCGUAUUCUUAAAGAAUUCCAUUUUUUCAUCUUAUGUCGCAAAUGCGUUGUGUGAUGAGAACCUUGAAGCAUUCUUUAUGGACCACUCUUUUAAUGCUUACGUGUUAAUCGUGUGGCUCAUUUUGAGUUGCUUGGUAUCAUGAUUAUGGAACUCGAUGGGGGCAUGGGAUGUUUAUAUAUCCCUUGGUUGCCCUGUCUUAGCGUUCUUGCUUCUCCAAUACGAUCGUUCAUCACGUAUGGCUUGUCCCAGCGUGGUGGAUUGCGUCGGAGAUGAAUGCUACCUGGUUGAUCCUGCCAGUAGUCAUAUGC
rnacentral:misc_RNA from 1 species